UCGUACAAGGUUCUUAAGGAAAGUAAGGGAUAAUUAAGCACCUAGCUGGAACGGGAACAAGCUCUUACGGUGUUUCACUAAGAAAAGGUUUCUCAUCAAGGAAAGGUAGAAUUUGUGUUUCCCAAGGAAAGGCUGACGGCUGAACACAAAAUAAAGGCUUUUUGAAACAUCA